AGUUGACCCAAAGAAGGGAGAUUUGGGUGUGAUUGCACCAAUUGCAAUUGGUUUCAUUGUUGGUGCCAACAUUCUUGCUGGUGGUGCCUUUACUGGAGCUUCAAUGAACCCAGCUGUGUCAUUUGGCCCAUCUUUGGUUAGCUGGACCUGGACUCACCAAUGGGUUUACUGGGCUGGACCACUUAUUGGUGGUGGGCUUGCUGGAUUCAUCUAUGAAUUCAUCUUCAUUAGCCACACUCAUGAGCAAAUCCCAAGUGGAGAUUUUUAAGUAGUGCUGAAUUUUUAUCAACUCGUUGUUUAAUUUUCAUUUUCUCUUUGUAAACUUCUU
rnacentral:lncRNA from 1 species